rnacentral:lncRNA from 1 species
UCAAAACAAAACCUUUCAAUGAAGGUAUAAAAAUGUGCAGAGAUAGAGUAUGAAUAAAUACUAAAUCUAAAACAACAAAAAUGAAAAGAAAACACUGAAAUCUUCAAAGAAAUCAAACCAAGCAAGGAAAACCAGUAUCAAUUAAUUGAGUUUGUGCAUUAAGCGUAAUCAAAUGUAGUUAUGCUUGAAUUGAACACCUAAUUCAAUGAAAUGAAUAUUUGCAAAAAGUAAAACAUGCCUAAUUCAGUGAAGUAAAAUAUAGAAGAGCUUAAACUGAUGCACGCAGCAGGUUUACCAAAAACUAUGUUUUCAAUUGAACCAGAUCUCAAGAAACUAGGCAGAUAUUAAUUCAAGGCAUUCAAUCGAAUGCUUCGUUUGCAAUACAACAAAACAAUUCAAUAUCAACUAAUCUAGAAGGAUGCCAUGAAGUGAAUUAGAAGAAGGUGCAAAUUUCAAAUCAAUGAACAAACUGAUCAAAAAGAAAAGAAUAAUAAAAGAAAAGGAAGAAUCACUCACCUAGCAAGUACAAUCAACCAAAAUCGUAGAAUCAUAAAUAGAUUCAGGUAAAUUGAGCUAGAAGUUAAACAUAAAAUUAGAUCUGAAACGAAACCAAAAACAAAAAAUACGGCAAACUCAGAUCUGGUUGAAAGAAAAGGAGAUCGUACCUGAUGCAAUGGGAACCGAAACACAAAUUGAAAUCCAAGGACGAAUUCGAUUAUCAAAAUGACUCCGUACUGCAGAACAGAGAGAAGCGAGGAGAAGAGAGAGAAUAGAAGAGAAGAGAGAUGAAAAGAGGAGCGGAAAGUGCGAAGAGCUCCUCAGAAAUCGUUUGGUGUGGGAAUUAGAUAUUGAAAUGAAACAAAGAGGCGUUCGUUCUCUCAGUUUGAUUUCGCUCUCUUUAUUUCCGGGUUAAGCGAGAGAAACACAGAGCGCAUAAAUAAAUUAAUAUAAUAAUUGCUAUUUAAA